UCUGGGUCGCGCGCCUCAGCUCUCAGUUCCUCAUUCACUUUCUCUCUCUCCAAAAAUCCUUUGAAAUCUUGACCAGUCAUGUUGUCUCCUUCACAAACCCUAGCUCUAGUAGUUACAGAAGAAAGAGAAGCAGCUGAUACUCAGCUCUCAUCUCUCGUCUAUGAUGUCUCACAACAAGUGCAAGUAGCAAUGGAGAACAUGCUUAAGAUGACUAAAUCAGAGCUCAAGCGGAAUAAUAGAAGAAAUUGAAAAGUGCAAGGAAUCUGCAACUGAAAAGAAGAAAAUGUUAGACGAAGAAAAAGAACGUUUCCAGAAAGCUGCUUACAUGGCUUUAGAUAUGCUCAACAACACUGUGCCGCUGUAGUACAGUGGUAAAGUCACUAGGUGAUGAUACCAGUGAUCUGAGUUCGAAACUCGCCAGCAUCAAAUUCUUUACCGAUCAAAAAAAAAGUAUCACAAUGAACAUGUCUACGCGUGUGAUGCAUAACCUGCACACCCUUAAGGAAAUUUGCAGAGGCCUUUCAAUAAUGAAACUGCAGCGCUAGCAGUUUAGCAUCUCCAUAUUCUUAUCUGGCAUUUUGUGAUGCUUAUGUGAGCUAGAACUGUAGUCCUUUCGCAACAUCAAUGAAAUUGUUAGUUAAAUCUGUUUUCUAGUUUUUUUGAGGAAAUUCUGUUGCUUUACUUGCCAAAAUUGACCAUUGAGAAUAUUUGUAAGUAUAUUGAAUCUGCUUUACUUG